UAAAGAAAGCGUAAUAGCUCACUGGUCGAGUCGGCCUGCGCGGAAGAUGUAACGGGGCUAAACCAUGCACCGAAGCUGCGGCAGCGACACUGUGUGUUGUUGGGUAGGGGCGCGUUCUGCAAGCCUGUGAAGGUGGCCUGUGAGGGUUGCUGGAGGUAUCAGAAGUGCGAAUGCUGACAUAAGUAACGAUAAAGCGGGUGAAAAGCCCGCUCGCCGGAAGACCAA
rnacentral:rRNA from 1 species